rnacentral:rRNA from 1 species
UACGGAGGGUGCAAGCGUUGUUCGGAAUCAUUGGGCGUAAAGCGCGUGUAGGCGGCCGGGUAAGUCUGAUGUGAAAGCCCGGGGCUCAACCCCGGAAGUGCAUUGGAUACUGCCUGGCUAGAGGGCGAGAGAGGAAAGUGGAAUUCCUGGUGUAGGGGUGAAAUCCGUAGAUAUCAGGAGGAACAUCAGUGGCGAAGGCGGCUUUCUGGCUCGUUACUGACGCUGAGACGCGAGAGCGUGGGGAGCAGACAGG